AUAUUGUAAAUACGAAAACGCAUUCAAGAGUUACAUGGUUUGUCUUUUAGCUCUAAAAGCCGUAACAGUGGAAAAUCAUAAUUAUGAAGACGAGAAUUUGUCAUUUCACAGAAUGUGUCAUCAAAAUCAAAAUUGGUUCAGCCGUUCCGGGGACUACCUGACAUAAAGAGACACCCAAAAUUAUUGUUUUAUGCUAUUUUAUUGAUAUUAAAACCAUUUUAUUUAUUUGUAUAGUACUGGUUCAACUGUCAUAAAUAUAAAACUUUCGCAUUA